GACGAACGCUGGCGGCGUGCUUAACACAUGCAAGUCGAACGGAAAGGCCCUGCUUUUGUGGGGUGCUCGAGUGGCGAACGGGUGAGUAACACGUGAGUAACCUGCCCUUGACUUUGGGAUAACUUCAGGAAACUGGGGCUAAUACCGGAUAGGAGCUCCUGCUGCAUGGUGGGGGUUGGAAAGUUUCGGCGGUUGGGGAUGGACUCGCGGCUUAUCAGCUUGUUGGUGGGGUAGUGGCUUACCAAGGCUUUGACGGGUAGCCGGCCUGAGAGGGUGACCGGCCACAUUGGGACUGAGAGACGGCCCAGACUCCUACGGGAGGCAGCAGUGGGGAAUAUUGCACAAUGGGCGGAAGCCUGAUGCAGCAACGCCGCGUGCGGGAUGACGGCCUUCGGGUUGUAAACCGCUUUCGCCUGUGACGAAGCGUGAGUGACGGUAAUGGGUAAAGAAGCACCGGCUAACUACAUG
rnacentral:rRNA from 1 species